AUUGAACGCUGGCGGCAGGCCUAACACAUGCAAGUCGAGCGGAUGAAGGGAGCUUGCUCCUGGAUUCAGCGGCGGACGGGUGAGUAAUGCCUAGGAAUCUGCCUGGUAGUGGGGGAUAACGUCCGGAAACGGGCGCUAUUACCGCAUACGUCCUGAGGGAGAAAGUGGGGGAUCUUCGGACCUCACGCUAUAAGAUGAGCCUAGGUCGGAUUAGCUAGUUGGUGGGGUAAAGGCCUACCAAGGCGACGAUCCGUAACUGGUCUGAGAGGAUGACCAGUCACACUGGAACUGAGACACGGUCCAGACUCCUACGGGAGGCAGCAGUGGGGAAUAUUGGACAAUGGGCGAAAGCCUGAUCCAGCCAUGCCGCGUGUGUGAAGAAGGUCUUCGGAUUGUAAAGCACUUUAAGUUGGGAGGAAGGGCAGUAAGUUAAUACCUUGCUGUUUUGACGUUACCAACAGAAUAAGCACCGGCUAACUUCGUG
rnacentral:rRNA from 1 species